AUGCAAGUCGAACGGCAGCGGGGACUUCGGUCCGCCGGCGAGUGGCGAACGGGUGAGUAAAGUAUCGGAACGUACCUUUCAGUGGGGGAUAACGUAGCGAAAGUUACGCUAAUACCGCAUAUUCUGUGAGCAGGAAAGCAGGGGAUCGCAAGACCUUGCGCUGAUUGAGCGGCCGAUAUCAGAUUAGCUAGUUGGUGAGGUAAAGGCUCACCAAGGCGACGAUCUGUAGCGGGUCUGAGAGGAUGAUCCGCCACACUGGAACUGAGACACGGUCCAGACUCCUACGGGAGGCAGCAGUGGGGAAUUUUGGACAAUGGGGGCAACCCUGAUCCAGCCAUGCCGCGUGAGUGAAGAAGGCCUUCGGGUUGUAAAGCUCUUUCGGCCGGGAAGAAAUCGUAUGGGUUAAUACCCUGUGCGGAUGACGGUACCGGCAUAAGAAGCACCGGCUAACUACGUGCCAGCAGCCGCGGUAAUACGUAGGGUGCGAGCGUUAAUCGGAAUUACUGGGCGUAAAGCGUGCGCAGGCGGUUUUGUAAGACAGGCGUGAAAUCCCCGGGCUCAACCUGGGAACUGCGCUUGUGACUGCAAGGCUAGAGUAUGGCAGAGGGGGGUGGAAUUCCACGUGUAGCAGUGAAAUGCGUAGAGAUGUGGAGGAACACCAAUGGCGAAGGCAGCCCCCUGGGCCAAUACUGACGCUCAUGCACGAAAGCGUGGGUAGCAAACAGGAUUAGAUACCCUGGUAGUCCACGCCCUAAACGAUGUCAACUAGGUGUUGGGUGGGUAAAACCAUUUAGUACCGUAGCUAACGCGUGAAGUUGACCGCCUGGGGGAGUACGGCCGCAAGGUUAAAACUCAAAGGAAUUGACGGGGACCCGCACAAGCGGUGGAUGAUGUGGAUUAAUUCGAUGCAACGCGAAAAAACCUUACCUACCCUUGAC
rnacentral:rRNA from 1 species